AGUGAAAUUUCUGGAUAAGAUGGUAACUUUAUGUUUAACUUUAUGAGGAAUUGCCAAAAUGUUUUCCAAAGUGGCUGUACCAUUUUCAUUCCCACCAGCAAU
rnacentral:pre_miRNA from 1 species